rnacentral:rRNA from 1 species
CCUACGGGUGGCAGCAGUGAGGAAUAUUGGUCAAUGGACGAGAGUCUGAACCAGCCAAGUAGCGUGAAGGAUGACUGCCCUAGGGGUUGUAAACUUCUUUUAUAAAGGAAUAAAACGAGGCACGUGUGCCUUUUUGCAUGUACUUUAUGAAUAAGGAUCGGCUAACUCCGUGCCAGCAGCCGCGGUAAUACGGAGGAUCCGAGCGUUAUCCGGAUUUACUGGGUUUAAAGGGAGCGUAGAUGGGUGUGUAAGUCAGUUGUGAAAGUUCACGGCUCAACCGUAAAAUAGCAAUUGAUACUGGCAGUCUUGAGUACAGGUGAGGUAGGCGGAAUUCGUGGUGUAGCGGUGAAAUGCUUAGAUAUCACGAAGAACCCCGAUUGCGAAGGCAGCUUACUAAACUGUGAUUGACACUGAGGCGCGAAAGUGUGGGUAGCAAACAGGAUUAGAUACCCUGGUAGUC